GCAGGUGUAGCUCAGUGGGAGUGUGCUUGCCUAGCAUUAAAGAGACCCUGGGUUCAAUCCCCAGCACUGCA
rnacentral:tRNA from 1 species